rnacentral:rRNA from 1 species
AACGAAUAUUCCGCAAUGCACGAAAGUGUGACGGAGCAAUGCCGCGUGCAGGAUGAAUCCCCUCGGGGUGUAAACUGCUGUCAGUGACUAGAAAAAAAAUGAUCAGUCGCAAAGGAAGGACCGGCUAAUCUCGUGCCAGCAGCCGCGGUAAUACGAGAGGUCCGAGCGUUACGCGGAAUUACUGGGCUUAAAGCGUACGUAGGCGGAUCUACAGGUAUCCUGUGAAAGCCCACGGCUCAACCGUGGAAUUGCAGGGUAAACCGUAGAUCUUGAGGUGGCUAGGGGCUCUCGGAACGGUAGGUGGAGUGGUGAAAUGCGUUGAUAUCUACCGGAACGCCAAAGGGGAAGCCAGGGAGCUGGGGCCAUUCUGACGCUGAGGUACGAAAGCGUGGGUAGCGAACGGG